rnacentral:tRNA from 1 species
GUAUCUAUAGCUUAAUGGAUAAAGCAUAUGCGUCCUAAGCAUAUGAUAAAGGUUCAAUUCCUUUUAGAUACU